UGGGUAGCUCAGUGGAUAGAGCAGUGGUUUCCUAAACCAUUGGUCGCGGGUUCAAUUCCCGCCCC
rnacentral:tRNA from 1 species